AAGACCCCCCCAUUCCCCUCACAGAACUACAAUUUCCAGAGCAGAUUAAUAAUCAACACCUCUUCCCAAGGAACUGUGGGAAUUGUAGCUCUGUGAGGGGAAUAGGAGGUCU